rnacentral:rRNA from 1 species
UGCAAGUCGAGCGAGACCUUCGGGUCUAGCGGCGGACGGGUGAGUAACGCGUGGGAACGUGCCCUUCUCUACGGAAUAGCCCCGGGAAACUGGGAGUAAUACCGUAUACGCCCUUUGGGGGAAAGAUUUAUCGGAGAAGGAUCGGCCCGCGUUGGAUUAGGUAGUUGGUGGGGUAAUGGCCCACCAAGCCGACGAUCCAUAGCUGGUUUGAGAGGAUGAUCAGCCACACUGGGACUGAGACACGGCCCAG